UCCUACGGGAGGCAGCAGUGGGGAAUAUUGCACAAUGGGCGCAAGCCUGAUGCAGCCAUGCCGCGUGUGUGAAGAAGGCCUUCGGGUUGUAAAGCACUUUCAGCGAGGAGGAAAGCUUAAGCGUUAAUAGCGUUUAGGUGUGACGUUACUCGCAGAAGAAGGACCGGCUAACUUCGUGCCAGCAGCCGCGGUAAUACGAGGGGUCCAAGCGUUAAUCGGAAUUACUGGGCGUAAAGCGUACGCAGGCGGUUUGUUAAGCGAGAUGUGAAAGCCCCGGGCUCAACCUGGGAACUGCAUUUCGAACUGGCAGACUAGAGUCUUGUAGAGGGGGGUAGAAUUUCAGGUGUAGCGGUGAAAUGCGUAGAGAUCUGAAGGAAUACCGGUGGCGAAGGCGGCCCCCUGGACAAAGACUGACGCUCAUGUACGAAAGCGUGGGGAGCAAACAGGAUUAGAUACCCUGGUAGUCCACGCCGUAAACGAUGUCUACUCGGAAUUUGGUGUCUUGAACACUGGGUUCUCAAGCUAACGCAUUAAGUAGACCGCCUGGGGAGUACGGCCGCAAGGUUAAAACUCAAAGGAAUUGACGG
rnacentral:rRNA from 1 species